UACAGAGGUCUCAAGCGUUGUUCGGAUUCAUUGGGCGUAAAGGGUGCGUAGGCGGCGCGGUAAGUCGGGUGUGAAAUUUCGAGGCUUAACUUCGAAACUGCAUUCGAUACUGCCGUGCUUGAGGACUGGAGAGGAGACUGGAAUUUACGGUGUAGCGGUGAAAUGCGUAGAUAUCGUAAGGAAGACCAGUGGCGAAGGCGGGUCUCUGGGCCGAUACUGACGCUGAGGAGCGAAAGCGUGGGGAGCGAUCAGG
rnacentral:rRNA from 1 species